GGUCAGAUGGCUCAGUUGGUAGAGCACCUGACUAGCAUUCAGGGGGCCCAUGUUCAAACCAUGGUUUGCCCA